CAGAUGAGUAAAAAAACUGUCUCAGUUAUUAUAGCAGCAUAACACACCCAAACUCCACAGGGCAGAGUAGCUAUACAGUAAGCUGGUAGCUUCUUCAGCUCAGGAAUUUGGGCAGAGCACAUUGGGUGGGAGAUUUCAGAGGCCACCACUUGCCUCAAGGUGGGACCGACCCAGGGGCUCAGGCUGACUCAGGCCUCUUGCCAAGACCAGGUUUGUGCUUGGCCUUCCUGGGUGCCCACCCUGGGACUCGCACCCGAGUCUUGGACAUGGCCUGGGCCUCACCUGGCCUCCUGGCUUCGGGUGCUCGAGUCCUGGACACUGGGCCUGGGCCUCACCUGGCCUCCUGGCUUCAGGUGCUCGAGUCCUGGACACUGGGCCUAGGCUUCACCCGGCCUCCUGGCUUCAGGUGCCCAUCCUGUGCUGACCACUUGCCAGCAGCCAUCCUCAGCCCUGACUUCUCACCCCACAAACCCACUCUGGUUUCUACUGGGGUGUGUCACGUACACCCAAAGCUGAGCACCUGGUCUUCCCCCCGGUACUGGACUGAGUGAUGCCCCUUCCAAAAGAUUUGUCCCCAUUGUAACCCCAGAACCCAUGCAUGUGACUCCAUUUGGGACAGGGGUCUUUGAAGAUUUAGUUAAGUAAUGAUUCUGCAGAUGAGCUCAUCCUGGAUUACCUGCGUGGGCCCUAAAUCUAAUGACAAGCGUCCUCAUGAGACACACAGAGGGGAGACGCCUGAGGAGAGGGGAAGCCGUGUGGAGAUAGAGGAAGGACUCGGGUGACAAGGCCACCACCACCUGAUACCUCAGGGGAUCCCCCCGGUACUGGGCUGGGACUGUGGAGCCCAGAAGUUGGAAGAGGCAAGAGAAGAUUCUCCUUCAGAGCCUUCACGUCGAGAGAAAGUUCCUGCUGUUUUGAGGCACCAUGUUUGGGACGCACCCUCCAAGUCUGCAGCCCGUCCUCCAGGCUGUGCUUCCUCGGGUUCCCGGUGCCGACCUGUGCACCCCUCUUUCUUUUACCUGCACCCCUUCUGCCUUCAAAACAUGCUGGGCACCUGCCGGUGUCCCUUCACCUCAGCUCCUGCCCUGCUGCAGACCCUAGCCCCUGCCUGGAGCCGGCACUGUCCCCUCUCACUAGACCCACCUUCACUGUGGACAGUGGCCACUCACGCCCUUCCUGCUCCAGGCCACGUCCCGGCCAAAAGAAAAAACAAAAAAAUCCCUGUGUCUGAAGUGGAUAAUUGUCACCGAGGGAAACCCUCCAGGAGCCAUCACAAGAGCCUAGAAAGGAGGUGGCGGGGCCCGUGGAGGUGCAGGGGGCACGUCUGCUGAAUGUCACUGAGCAAAUUCGUCAGAAAGUACUGCCUGACCCCCUACAAGGUGAGAGGCUGGGCCCAUCACCAUGCUUCUGGCUUGGGAGCCGGGUGACUUAAUGGCUCAGGCAGCUGCCCGAACAUUCUUAAUUAUAAUAAUUGUAUUUCUUUCUUGUAAAAGGCACAUAUGUGGCCCAGACUAGAAAUACGUGUGUAUGGAGAAGUUUGGCUUUUCUAGUGAUGUUAGGCUGAUUGGCAUCUGCAGCAAUGUGUUCUGUUGACUCCCUGGGGACCCCCACCCCCACCCCACUCCUUUACCUCCUUACAGCAGUGGUGGGAGCUGCCCUGGGCCUGGCCCUUCUCAAGUUGGCUGGACAGGCCCAAGCUCUUCCUUUCCCAGGCCCAGGUCUGUCUGGUGGCAGGUAGCAGGAUGUGUUUAUCUGUUGGGGAAGUGGUACUGGUUACGGUAUUCAGUACAUUCUGUGCCUUGGCUGCUGGGAGACAUACCUGACAACAUCAGCCCAGCCAGGAGAACCUGGCUGUGGUGCGUGACGUGUGGCUUUAGGGGCUGGGUUUUCAGUAGUUUAAGCUAGUCAUGACCCAUGCUUGCUCUAGGGGUGAGAAUGAGGGGGCUCAAAACCUGGUUCUGUGCAGUGAACUAGGAGAGAAGGUCAGCUUGGGGCCUCGGGAAAAAAAUAUUCCUUCCUCCUAAAGGGAGAGUCAUUUGAGGGGUGCUCUUGUUACCCUAGCCUUCCAGAUGCUUCCAGCCUUUGAGUGCAUGUGUGUAGAGACAUGAUGUCUAGACCCAUGCGGCCGCUUUGUGACUAUGAAUACACCUAUGGACAAAAGCCAGCCCCCUGAGGACAAAACAGCAUAGAAGGGACCAGUUCUUGAUGGCACCCUGCAGCUGCCGGACCCAACCCCAGGCCAGCCCCCUCCUUUGGACAUUUUUUUUUCAUUAUUGGUGUUGAUAAAAUUCACAUAAUGUAAAUUAACCCUAUAAAAGUGAACGACUUAGUGGCACUUGGUACAUUCACAAUAUUGUGCAACCAUCAUAUCUAUAAAUAAUUCAAAAACAUUUUCAACCCCCCGGAAGGAAACCUUACACCCAUUGACAGUCAGCCACCCCCCAUUCCUUAUUUGUCUAGCCCCUCGCAGCUGCUAGUUUACUUGCUCAGGAAAUUCACCUGUUCUGCAUAUUUCAUAUACAGUAGCACCAUCGUAGCUGACCACCUCCCUACACUGACCACCUCCUUCAGUUGACCUAAUUCUCACAGACUGGACAUGCACCACACGUACAUAUCAGUACAGCAGGCCUAACUCCUUAUGGUGACCACCUCCAUGUGUUGACCAGUUUGUUACAGUCCUUUGAGGGGCAACUUACUGAGGUGCUGCUGUAAAUGGGAUCACACACAUGACCUUUUGUGACUGCAUCUUUCACGGAGCAGUCCAAGUCAUCCUGCUGUAGCCUGCGCCAGUGUGCCCACCAUUCCUUUUAUGGCAGAAUAACUUGCCUUGUGUGAGCAGGCCGCACUUUGUCCAGCCGCACAGGAGUGGAUGGGCAUUCAGAUCUUUCUGCUUCUUGGCUGUCACGAGGAUGCUGCCGUGAGCCUCUGUGUGCAGCUUUUACGUGGCCGUCCUCUUACGUGGCCAGUUGUUCACCCAGCAGUGGAAUUGCUGAGUCAUGCAGCGACUCGCUGCGUGCUCUGUGCACACCGUUCCAGCCUCUGCCCUCUGCACCAGGCUCUUGGUGACUCUCGUCUCCUUUGUCCCUUGCUCUCCCCUCUGAGGUCGCUAUCUCCAUUUUUCAGGUGAGAAAACAGAGGUGACUUGCCAGCAAUCGCUGGACCACCGUCUGUCACCGCCUCUCUGGCUAGAGGAGCUGACAGGGCUGGGCCUGGUCCUGCAGGAGUUUCCUGGCAGGUCGAGGAGGCACCUGCGGAGAACUCACUGGCUGCCAAGACACAGAACAUAGUGUCCUGGAGAGACCCUGGGUGGCACCACAGGGGGCACGGUGUGGGAGAGGCUCCUCAGUCUCUGCUCUACCAAAGGGCACCAAGAGUUCCCACAGCGCCCACCUGGGGGCUUUGCCACACUUGCUGACCACAUGCGUGUGCCCAGGGAGGGAGCUGGUGUCAUUCAGCUUCCUCUGCUGAUGCUUAGCCAGGUCAAUGGCCAGGGUAAGGACCACAGCUGGGGUCACGUCCCAGUUUAAGGCCGAAAGUUAUGAUUUUAACCACUGGCCAUGCUGCUUCCUCAGCCUCUGGAGUUUCACUUUACAACAGGAGCCAAGAAUGAUAUGGAUCCUUCAUGAAGAAAAGCUUGAAGAAAUAAUGAGAAAAACCACUCAUAAUACGCAAAGUCAGAGCAGCUAUCACAUGGCUCAUACCCUGUGUAUUCCGCUGUUUUUCACUGAAGUAGCGAUGGAGUCUUGCUCUUCCUUAGGCUGAUCUUGAACUCCUGAGCUCAAGCGAUCUUCCCGCCUUGUCCUCCUAGAGAGCUGGGAUUACAGGCAGGAGCCACUGCCCCCGGCCACAAUUCUAUAAUAUAUUUGUAUGCUCCUAGUAACAUAGCCUCAAAAUAAAUAAAACAAAACGGAACUUACGCACAAGCUUGCUUUCUUAUUCUGGAAGUCGGAUUUGGUGGAUGGACUGUAGUCUCUGCCAUCAGACUUGGGCAAAGUCAGAGCCAGGCCCUCCUCUCAGGAGUUUUCUCUCCAGCGGGGAGGGAAAACCAUGGCUGCGUGAGCAGCUGCAGACCUCGGCCAGUGCCAGCUGAGGAGGGUCUCAGCCACAGCAGACAGCUAUCACCCACCUGCAUUCACAGUCACACCACGAACACUG